CCUACGGGUGGCUGCAGUGAGGAAUAUUGGUCAAUGGACGAGAGUCUGAACCAGCCAAGUAGCGUGAAGGAUGACUGCCCUAUGGGUUGUAAACUUCUUUUAUAUGGGAAUAAAAUGUUCCACGUGUGGGAUUUUGUAUGUACCAUAUGAAUAAGGAUCGGCUAACUCCGUGCCAGCAGCCGCGGUAAUACGGAGGAUCCGAGCGUUAUCCGGAUUUAUUGGGUUUAAAGGGAGCGUAGGUGGAUUGUUAAGUCAGUUGUGAAAGUUUGCGGCUCAACCGUAAAAUUGCAGUUGAAACUGGCAGUCUUGAGUACAGUAGAGGUGGGCGGAAUUCGUGGUGUAGCGGUGAAAUGCUUAGAUAUCACGAAGAACUCCGAUUGCGAAGGCAGUUCACUGGACUGCAACUGACACUGAGGCUCGAAAGUGUGGGUAUCAAACAGGAGUAGAUACCCCAGUAUC
rnacentral:rRNA from 1 species